UUAAGCGACUAAGCGUACACGGUGGAUGCCCUGGCAGUCAGAGGCGAUGAAGGACGUGCUAAUCUGCGAUAAGCGUCGGUAAGGUGAUAUGAACCGUUAUAACCGGCGAUUUCCGAAUGGGGAAACCCAGUGUGUUUCGACACACUAUCAUUAACUGAAUCCAUAGGUUAAUGAGGCGAACCGGGGGAACUGAAACAUCUAAGUACCCCGAGGAAAAGAAAUCAACCGAGAUUCCCCCAGUAGCGGCGAGCGAACGGGGAGCAGCCCAGAGCCUGAAUCAGUAUGUGUGUUAGUGGAAGCGUCUGGAAAGGCGCGCGAUACAGGGUGACAGCCCCGUACACAAAAAUGCACAUGCUGUGAGCUCGAUGAGUAGGGCGGGACACGUGGUAUCCUGUCUGAAUAUGGGGGGACCAUCCUCCAAGGCUAAAUACUCCUGACUGACCGAUAGUGAACCAGUACCGUGAGGGAAAGGCGAAAAGAACCCCGGCGAGGGGAGUGAAAAAGAACCUGAAACCGUGUACGUACAAGCAGUGGGAGCACGCUUAGGCGUGUGACUGCGUACCUUUUGUAUAAUGGGUCAGCGACUUAUAUUCUGUAGCAAGGUUAACCGAAUAGGGGAGCCGAAGGGAAACCGAGUCUUAACUGGGCGUUAAGUUGCAGGGUAUAGACCCGAAACCCGGUGAUCUAGCCAUGGGCAGGUUGAAGGUUGGGUAACACUAACUGGAGGACCGAACCGACUAAUGUUGAAAAAUUAGCGGAUGACUUGUGGCUGGGGGUGAAAGGCCAAUCAAACCGGGAGAUAGCUGGUUCUCCCCGAAAGCUAUUUAGGUAGCGCCUCGUGAAUUCAUCUCCGGGGGUAGAGCACUGUUUCGGCAAGGGGGUCAUCCCGACUUACCAACCCGAUGCAAACUGCGAAUACCGGAGAAUGUUAUCACGGGAGACACACGGCGGGUGCUAACGUCCGUCGUGAAGAGGGAAACAACCCAGACCGCCAGCUAAGGUCCCAAAGUCAUGGUUAAGUGGGAAACGAUGUGGGAAGGCCCAGACAGCCAGGAUGUUGGCUUAGAAGCAGCCAUCAUUUAAAGAAAGCGUAAUAGCUCACUGGUCGAGUCGGCCUGCGCGGAAGAUGUAACGGGGCUAAACCAUGCACCGAAGCUGCGGCAGCGACACUAUGUGUUGUUGGGUAGGGGAGCGUUCUGUAAGCCUGUGAAGGUGUGCUGUGAGGCAUGCUGGAGGUAUCAGAAGUGCGAAUGCUGACAUAAGUAACGAUAAAGCGGGUGAAAAGCCCGCUCGCCGGAAGACCAAGGGUUCCUGUCCAACGUUAAUCGGGGCAGGGUGAGUCGACCCCUAAGGCGAGGCCGAAAGGCGUAGUCGAUGGGAAACAGGUUAAUAUUCCUGUACUUGGUGUUACUGCGAAGGGGGGACGGAGAAGGCUAUGUUGGCCGGGCGACGGUUGUCCCGGUUUAAGCGUGUAGGCUGGUUUUCCAGGCAAAUCCGGAAAAUCAAGGCUGAGGCGUGAUGACGAGGCACUACGGUGCUGAAGCAACAAAUGCCCUGCUUCCAGGAAAAGCCUCUAAGCAUCAGGUAACAUCAAAUCGUACCCCAAACCGACACAGGUGGUCAGGUAGAGAAUACCAAGGCGCUUGAGAGAACUCGGGUGAAGGAACUAGGCAAAAUGGUGCCGUAACUUCGGGAGAAGGCACGCUGAUAUGUAGGUGAAGUCCCUCGCGGAUGGAGCUGAAAUCAGUCGAAGAUACCAGCUGGCUGCAACUGUUUAUUAAAAACACAGCACUGUGCAAACACGAAAGUGGACGUAUACGGUGUGACGCCUGCCCGGUGCCGGAAGGUUAAUUGAUGGGGUUAGCCGCAAGGCGAAGCUCUUGAUCGAAGCCCCGGUAAACGGCGGCCGUAACUAUAACGGUCCUAAGGUAGCGAAAUUCCUUGUCGGGUAAGUUCCGACCUGCACGAAUGGCGUAAUGAUGGCCAGGCUGUCUCCACCCGAGACUCAGUGAAAUUGAACUCGCUGUGAAGAUGCAGUGUACCCGCGGCAAGACGGAAAGACCCCGUGAACCUUUACUAUAGCUUGACACUGAACAUUGAGCCUUGAUGUGUAGGAUAGGUGGGAGGCUUAGAAGUGUGGACGCCAGUCUGCAUGGAGCCGACCUUGAAAUACCACCCUUUAAUGUUUGAUGUUCUAACGUUGACCCGUAAUCCGGGUUGCGGACAGUGUCUGGUGGGUAGUUUGACUGGGGCGGUCUCCUCCUAAAGAGUAACGGAGGAGCACGAAGGUUGGCUAAUCCUGGUCGGACAUCAGGAGGUUAGUGCAAUGGCAUAAGCCAGCUUGACUGCGAGCGUGACGGCGCGAGCAGGUGCGAAAGCAGGUCAUAGUGAUCCGGUGGUUCUGAAUGGAAGGGCCAUCGCUCAACGGAUAAAAGGUACUCCGGGGAUAACAGGCUGAUACCGCCCAAGAGUUCAUAUCGACGGCGGUGUUUGGCACCUCGAUGUCGGCUCAUCACAUCCUGGGGCUGAAGUAGGUCCCAAGGGUAUGGCUGUUCGCCAUUUAAAGUGGUACGCGAGCUGGGUUUAGAACGUCGUGAGACAGUUCGGUCCCUAUCUGCCGUGGGCGCUGGAGAACUGAGGGGGGCUGCUCCUAGUACGAGAGGACCGGAGUGGACGCAUCACUGGUGUUCGGGUUGUCAUGCCAAUGGCACUGCCCGGUAGCUAAAUGUGGAAGAGAUAAGUGCUGAAAGCAUCUAAGCACGAAACUUGCCCCGAGAUGAGUUCUCCCUGACUCCUUGAGAGUCCUGAAGGAACGUUGAAGACGACGACGUUGAUAGGCCGGGUGUGUAAGCGCAGCGAUGCGUUGAGCUAACCGGUACUAAUGAACCGUGAGGCUUAACCUU
rnacentral:rRNA from 1 species